GCGAACGCUGGCGGCAGGCCUAACACAUGCAAGUCGAACGAACUCUUCGGAGUUAGUGGCGGACGGGUGAGUAACACGUGGGAACGUGCCUUUAGGUUCGGAAUAACUCAGGGAAACUUGUGCUAAUACCGAAUGUGCCCUUCGGGGGAAAGAUUUAUCGCCUUUAAAGCGGCCCGCGUCUGAUUAGCUAGUUGGUGAGGUAAAGGCUCACCAAGGCGACGAUCAGUAGCUGGUCUGAGAGGAUGAUCAGCCACAUUGGGACUGAGACACGGCCCAAACUCCUACGGGAGGCAGCAGUGGGGAAUCUUGCGCAAUGGGCGAAAGCCUGACGCAGCCAUGCCGCGUGAAUGAUGAAGGUCUUAGGAUUGUAAAAUUCUUUCACCGGGGACGAUAAUGACGGUACCCGGAGAAGAAGCCCCGGCUAACUUCGUG
rnacentral:rRNA from 1 species